rnacentral:misc_RNA from 1 species
ACUUGCUUCACCGGCUCCCCUUGAAUGCAUUAGCUCCGGCUCCUCCCAGCGAAGGGAAUGUCCCCAUAGCGUGAUAACUAUCUGCGCUUUGGGCUUCACUCUGCUGGGUUGAAUCCAUGGGUCGGGCUUAUAAUCGUCCUCUCUGGGACAAAAUCACUCAAUUUGACCUCAAAUCAGGUAGGACUACCCGCUGAACUUAA